rnacentral:rRNA from 1 species
CCUGCGGAAGGAUCAUUACCGAGUGCGGGCUCCCUCGCGAGCCCAACCUCCCACCCGUGUUUUUGUACCUCUCCUGUUGCUUUGGCGGGCCCACCGCGACUCCCCGGAGUCCCGGUCACCGGGGUCACCGUUCGCGGGGCCCGGGUCCGCGCCCGCCGAAGCGCCUUCUGAACCCUGAUGAACAUGGGCGGUCUGAGUCAAUAUGAAAAUUGUCAAAACUUUCAACAAUGGAUCUCUUGGUUCCGGCAUCGAUGAAGAACGCAGCGAAAUGCGAUAAGUAAUGUGAAUUGCAGAAUUCCGUGAAUCAUCGAAUCUUUGAACGCACAUUGCGCCCUCUGGCAUUCCGGAGGGCAUGCCUGUCCGAGCGUCAUUUCUGCCCUCAAGCCCGGCUUGUGUGUUGGGUGUGGUCCCCUCCCUGGCGGGGGGACCUGCCCGAAAGGCAGCGGCGACGUCGCGUCCGGUCCUCGAGCGUAUGGGGCUUUGUCACUCGCUCGGGAAGGACCUGCGCGGGGUCGGUCACCACUGGAAAUUUGUUUCACCACGGUUGACCUCGGAUCAGGUASGAGUUACCCGCUGAACUUAA